GGAAGGGUGUGUGUGUGUGUAGGAUAGACAGAAAGAUGCAAGUCCUGAAAUGAAGAAGGCAGAUCACAGCAGCUUUGGGGGAACCCGGGGCUUUACCCAUCUGGAUGAAGCUUGUUGGACAGGAGACUGACUCUCCAGGAGAGGCGAUGGACGUCUGAGGCAUUCGUCUACGGCUGUCACAGUCAACAUCUGGACGGCCAUCUUGUUUUGGAGCAAAUCUUUUAAACGCCGAAAAGUAAAGAAGAAAAAAAAAAGUGCUCCUUUUUAGCAUUUGUACUUCUGGGUCUUUGCAUGUUUUUUUUUUUUCUUUCUUUCUAUGUAAUGAGUGAUGCGAGCAUCCACUGGCGCUUCUCUGAGCGAGCCCCUCCUUCUGUACGCCCACCGCCACUCCUCAGCGAAAAAUAUUACUCUGGGGAAAAAAACCCAGUCUAUUCAUCAUCUAACUUAUCGGAUCGCAUAAGAAUUUUGCAGCAAGUUUCAGAGAUGACCUGUAGCUAUUUAGGAUUUUAAACUAAGGAUGUUUUGCUAAUAAUAAUAAUAAAGCAAAACCGUAGUUUAAUCAGACGUCAAGUUGAGCAUCAUUAGUCAGCAGGGGUGCACAGUUGUACUUCCUGCAGUGCAAAACACCAGGGGGCGCUGCUCCCCACUGACUGGACGCGCAGGAAUAAUAUAUAUAUAAAACACAACUUAUUUUGUAUAAUUCUCCACCCCGGGCAGCAUGCCGCCCCGGGCACAGAGCCCUAUAUAACAAACGUCUUCUUAAAUUAAUUUUCUCCAGGUUAUGAUUCCCAGUCAAUAAUGGUUAAUAAAUUCUUCAUGUUGAAGUGCCACUUAAAUUUA